UUGAUUUGCAAUGCAGAUUUUUCGUAACUUCGGCGUCCUCUUCCUCGUUCCCGUCACUCGCUGUUCCGCCCGCCGGUCCAAGAAACCCGCCCGCCCGCCGGUCACGACCUCCGCCGUCGCCUCCGCCUCCGCCCGCCCAAGAGCAACUCGAGCAUUUCGCAAUGCAGCUUUUGUCGUCGCGAGCUUCGCAACGCAUCAGUUCUUCGCUGAAGCUCCUCCGUCAUGCGCCGCCGUCACCAACAUCUCCUGCUGCUUCCCCUUCUUCUUUCGUGCCCAGAUGCUGCUUCGCUGUGUCGACUCUGCAAACGCGAUCGAACCUCCAAAAGACGCAGCAGCGAGCGAUCCCGGGCGAUUUCUUGAGAUGGGCUGCGCUCGGUUCCUGCAGAACGUCGAGAUUCGCCACCGGGUUCGCGCCGCUGGAGCCCAAGCCGUUGGAUUCGAUCAUGGACGUAGGGAGAGUGAAGGUCCGUUCGGCCGAGGAGAUAGCCUCAGUUUGGGAUGAUGUUUAUGAUCCCAGUCCCAGAUUCAUCUUUCUCCCCCUCUCUCUGCCCUGCACACAAAUUUUGAAUUUUUCAUGCUGAGAUUUCGCUGGUCCGCCGUUCCUUGCUGCUCCAGCGUUCGUCAAGCGGCCGUCCCCCGCCGUCGCCGACGAAGCACAUUAAGGCCACCCCCUGCUCCGACGAAGCAAAGGCCUCCCUCGUCUUCGCUCUCAGCUCCGGCGUUCAUCAAGCGGUCGUUCCUCCGCCCUCGCCGACGAAGCACAUUAAGGCCACCCCUGCUCCAGCAAAGGAAAGGUCUCCCUCUCUCGCGAUCCGACGCUCGCUCGCUCGAUGCUCCGGCGUUCGUCAAGUGGCUGUUCCCCCGCCGUCGCCGACGAAGCACGUUAAGGCCACCCCUGCUCCAAUGAAGCUCCAGUGUAUUCAGUCUGCCCACAUUACAAGGAAAAUAUUCAGUUUAUUUUCUCCACCGACAUUGAUGGUAAGAUAAAAGCUUGGCUGUAUGAUUGCCUGGGAUCUAGAGUGGACUAUGGUGGUGCUCCCGGUCGAUGGUGCACCAUGAUGGCUUAUAGUGCGGAUGGAACAAGGUGCGGUACCUGAAGAUUAUUGAGAAGACCGGCUACCAGGCUCUUCCUUGGGUGAGAUACAUUACAAUGGCAGGCGAGUAUGAACUGAGGCUUAUUUGAGGUAGAUUUACCAGACAUGCCAAGACUGAUGGACAAUGACAGAAGCUUCAGAAAAUGCAGGCUUUUUGAAGAGUGGUUUGAUGCGGAUAAUAUCUGUUUUCUUGUUUUUCGACGCUGUAUAAUUAUUCUUUUGGUUGGGCUUAAUUGUUGGUGGUUCCCCAAAUAUGUAGUACUCACAUACUUUUGAUAGAUUUACCAUUUUGAUAAUGUGAAUGAAUGUGCUGUCGAGAUCUUCAAUUCA